CAAGUCGAGCGCGUAGCAAUACGAGCGGCGAACGGGUGAGUAAUACGUUGGGAUCUGCCCCGAACUCAGGGAUAACACCUAGAAAUAGGUGCUAAUACCGGAUAGUCCCGCAAGGGUAAAGCUUUUGCGGUUCGGGAGGAACCUGCGUCCUAUCAGCUUGUUGGUGAGGUAACGGCUUACCAAGGCUAUGACGGGUAGCUGGUCUGAGAGGAUGAUCAGCCACAAUGGGACUGAGACACGGCCCAUACUCCUACGGGAGGCAGCAGUAAGGAAUCUUUCGCAAUGGGGGAAACCCUGACGAAGCGACAUCGCGUGAUCGAUGAAGGCCGUAAGGUUGUAAAGAUCUUUUCUGAAGGAAUAAUUCUGAAGGUACUUCAGGAAUAAGCACCGGCUAACUCCGUGCCAGCAGCCGCGGU
rnacentral:rRNA from 1 species